rnacentral:rRNA from 1 species
UCCGUAGGUGAACCUGCGGAAGGAUCAUUACCAAAUUUUAGCGGGUCCUCUUUGAAAUAAGAAUGGGAUGUCUGAACCCUUGAAUACAUAACCUCGUUGCUUUGGCGGGCCGCCUCCGGGCGUCGGCCUCGGCUGACUGUGCCCGCCAGAGGACCACAACUCUUUGUUAAGUGAUGUCUGAGUACUAUAUAAUAGUUAAAACUUUCAACAACGGAUCUCUUGGUUCUGGCAUCGAUGAAGAACGCAGCGAAAUGCGAUAAGUAAUGUGAAUUGCAGAAUUCAGUGAAUCAUCGAAUCUUUGAACGCACAUUGCGCCCCUUGGUAUUCCGAGGGGCAUGCCUGUUCGAGCGUCAUAUAAACACAUCCCGCAAGGGGUCUUGGAGCCCGCCUCUCGGCGGCUCUUAAAAUCAGUGGCGGCGCCAUCUGGCUCUAAGCGUAGUAAUUAUCCUCGCUAUAGGGUCCAAGUGGAUGCUUGCCAGCAACCCCCAAUUUCUACGUUUGACCUCGGAUCAGGUAGGGAUACCCGCUGAACUUAAGCAUAUCAAUAAGCGGAGGA